rnacentral:rRNA from 1 species
GACGAACGCUGGCGGCGUGCCUAAUACAUGCAAGUAGAACGCUGAAGAGAGGAGCUUGCUCUUCUUGGAUGAGUUGCGAACGGGUGAGUAACGCGUAGGUAACCUGCCUGGUAGCGGGGGAUAACUAUUGGAAACGAUAGCUGAUACCGCAUAAAAUUGAUUAUUGCAUGAUAAUUAAUUGAAAGAUGCAACUGCAUCACUACCAGAUGGACCUGCGUUGUAUUAGCUAGUUGGUGAGGUAACGGCUCACCAAGGCGACGAUACAUAGCCGACCUGAGAGGGUGAUCGGCCACACUGGGACUGAGACACGGCCCAGACUCCUACGGGAGGCAGCAGUAGGGAAUCGUCGGCAAUGGGGGGAACCCUGACCGAGCAACGCCGAGGGAGUGAAGAAGGUUUUCGGAUCGGAAAGCUCGGUUGUAAGAGAAGAACGGGUGUGAGAGUGGAAAGUUCACACUGUGACGGUAUCUUACCAGAAAGGGACGGCUAACUACGUG